rnacentral:rRNA from 1 species
AUUUUGACGGUAUUUAAUUUUCCAGAGGAAUAUGUAAUUUAAUCGUCAACACACGUUAGAUCUUACUUAUUUUAUUUUUGUAUAUCUCCGUUGCCAGAUUUUAUUUAAAAUAAUAAAAAUUUUCCUCAAAAAGAAUUUUUGAACAUCAGGUCAAGGUCCAAAAUAAAUAAGUUAUUAUGUAUUUCAAUCAAAUAUAUUGUAUAAAUAAAUUUUGAAAAUAAUUUUGAAAUUGAAUUUGUAAGUAAAAUAUAUAUAGAAAAUGUAUUUGAAAUUAAUUAAAUAUG